rnacentral:lncRNA from 1 species
AUACCAAAUUGUAGAAACUGAAGAGAAGACGAAAUACCAAAAUAAUUGCAGAGACAGAACAGAAAUACCAAAUUGCAGAAGCUGAUACCAAAUUGCAGAAACCGAAGAGAAGACGAAAUACCAAAACAAUUGCAGAGACAGAACAGAAAUACCAAAUUGCAGAAGCUGAUACCAAAUUGCAGAAACCAAAGAGAAGAUGAAAUACCAAAACAAUUGCAGAGACAAAACAGAAAUACCAAAUUGCAAAAGCUGAUACCAAAUUGCAAAAACCGAAGAGAAGACGAAUACCAAAUUGCAGAAGCUGAUACCAAAUUGCAGAAACCGAAGA